GAUGAACGCUGGCGGCGUGCUUAACACAUGCAAGUCGAACGGUAAGGCCCUUCGGGGUACACGAGUGGCGAACGGGUGAGUAACACGUGGGUGAUCUGCCCUGCACUUCGGGAUAAGCCUGGGAAACUGGGUCUAAUACCGGAUAGGACCACUGCCUGCAUGGGUGGUGGUGGAAAGCUUUUGCGGUGUGGGAUGGGCCCGCGGCCUAUCAGCUUGUUGGUGGGGUGAUGGCCUACCAAGGCGACGACGGGUAGCCGGCCUGGGAGGGUGACCGGCCACACUGGGACUGAGAUACGGCCCAGACUCCUACGGGAGGCAGCAGUGGGGAAUAUUGCACAAUGGGCGCAAGCCUGAUGCAGCGACGCCGCGUGAGGGAUGACGGCCUUCGGGUUGUAAACCUCUUUCAGCACCGACGAAGCGCAAGUGACGGUAGGUGCAGAAGAAGGACCGGCCAACUACGUGCCAGCCGCCGCCGUAAAAC
rnacentral:rRNA from 1 species